CAUGUCUAUGGAGGGCUGUGUGUGCUGCGGUCCGGAGCGGUUCGGUUUUUGCAUGGGUUCGGAAAUCUCACCUCACACCGGCCUCAUGGGGAGGAGGGCAGCCUUCUAUCAUGGCGGGGAUGUGUGCGCUGUUAUGUCCAGCCCCUCCCCCAUCUUCGCCUGAAGGGGGUGUAUCACGGCAGGACAGGCUCUAAAGGGGUGGUUUCCAAGCAGUGUGUCUCCAGCUGUUGCAAAUCUACUGGGCAAUGCAGUAAAACAUUUUGCUGCAAAUCUUGAAGUUAGAUGCAUCUGGAGCACUUUUUUUUUAAAACUUCUGCGGAUUUUUUAUGACAAGCAUCAUUGAAAAUAUCUAUAUUAAUUUUAAUAAUUGGAUGAACCCGUUUCUCUUUGUUGUCCCAUCUUCCCCAGACAACAAAUAGACUUGCACUAUUGCACCUUUUCUGCACAUAGCCUUUCCACAAUCACAACUAACCGUCCAAACAGCUGCCUCGUCCUUUACUAUUUUGGAAUGCCAUUGAGUUCCAGGGACACCAUUCGCUACUGAGAGAUACUUCCUUCAUUUUUUCCACUUUUUAUCUAUUUAAUAAUAAAAACA